rnacentral:rRNA from 1 species
UACGGAGGGUGCAAGCGUUGUUCGGAUUUACUGGGCGUAAAGCGCGCGCAGGUGGGUGUACAAGUCGGAAGUGAAAUCCCAGGGCUCAACCCUGGGGCUGCUCCCGAAACUGUACGCCUAGGGACUGGUAGAGGCUGGUAGAAUUCCCGGUGUAGCGGUGGAAUGCGUAGAGAUCGGGAAGAAUACCCGUGGCGAAGGCGGCCAGCUGGGCCAGAUCCGACACUGAGGCGCGAAGGCGUGGGGAGCGAACGGG